AUAGCGUAUAUUAAAGUUGUUGCAGUUAAAAAGCUCGUAGUUGAAUUUUAGCCCUGGCUGGGCGGUCCGGCCUUUCGGUCGGUACUGCUUUGGCCGGGGUUCACCUUCUGGUGAGCCAGCAUGCCCUUCACUGGGUGUGUUGGGGAACCAGGACUUUUACUUUGAAAAAAUUAGAGUGUUUAAAGCAGGCAUACGCUUGAAUACAUUAGCAUGGAAUAAUGGAAUAGGACUUUGGUUCUAUUUUGUUGGUUUCUAGGACCGAGGUAAUGAUUAAUAGGGAUAGUUGGGGGCAUUAGUAUUUAAUUGUCAGAGGUGAAAUUCUUGGAUUUAUGAAAGACUAACUUCUG
rnacentral:rRNA from 1 species